rnacentral:rRNA from 1 species
UUGACGGAGAGUUUGAUCCUGGCUCAGGACGAACGCUGGCGGCGUGCUUAACACAUGCAAGUCGAACGAGGUCCACUGAGUAGCAAUACAAGGGAAGACCUAGUGGCGAACGGGUGAGUAUCACGUGAGAAACCAACCCCGGUCUCUGGGAUAACAGUUGGAAACGACUGCUAAUACUGGAUGUCGUCGUACCCUCGCAUGGGGGGAUGACGAAAGGGUUACCGGAUCGGGACGGUCUCGCGGCCUAUCAGCUUGUUGGUGAGGUAACGGCUCACCAAGGCAUCGACGGGUAGCUGGUCUGAGAGGAUGAUCAGCCACACUGGGACUGAGACACGGCC